UGAAGCAAGCCGUGGUAGAAUUAGUUUU
rnacentral:piRNA from 1 species